AUACUUACCUGGCGCGGGAUACCGUGAUCAAGAAGGCGGUGCUCCACGGACGAGGCCUGUACAUUGCACUCGUUAUGGGCUGACUCCUGCGACUACCCAAAUACGGGUCGGUGGCUCGAGCGCAUAAUAUUUUUUGGUAGUGGGGACUAAGCGUUCGCGCUGUCCCUU
rnacentral:snRNA from 1 species